AGUGAACGCUGGCGGUAGGCCCAACACAUGCAAGUCGAACGGCAGCACAGUAAGAGCUUGCUCUUACGGGUGGCGAGUGGCGGACGGGUGAGGAAUACAUCGGCAUCUACUUUUUCGUGGGGGAUAACGUAGGGAAACUUACGCUAAUACCGCAUACGACCUACGGGUGAAAGCAGGGGAUCUUCGGACCUUUCGCGAUUGAAUGAGCCGAUGUCGGAUUAGCUAGUUGGCGGGGUAAAGGCCCACCAAGGCGACGAUCCGUAGCUGGUCUGAGAGGAUGAUCAGCCACACUGGAACUGAGACACGGUCCAGACUCCUACGGGAGGCAGCAGUGGGGAAUAUUGGACAAUGGGCGCAAGCCUGAUCCAGCCAUACCGCGUGGGUGAAGAAGGCCUUCGGGUUGUAAAGCCCUUUUGUUGGGAAAGAAAAGCAGCAGGUUAAUACCCCGCUGUUCUGACGGUACCCAAAGAAUAAGCACCGGCUAACUUCGUG
rnacentral:rRNA from 1 species